rnacentral:tRNA from 1 species
UUUUAUAUAGUUUAAAAAAAACAUUACAUUUUCACUGUAAAAAUAAAACUUAAUUUUUAUAAAUA